GGGACCUUUACCUGCGGAACAGCUGCAAGUGGACCACAGACGGCGCCACCUUCUCCACCACUGCGGCGAUGAAGUUGUACUUUCUCCGGAGCCGCCCUGCUCUUGUGGUCCCUGUGAAUAAACGGUCCACGAGGGAAGAAAAGGAGAAAGGGAAGCCCAGUGGCAGCCAGUAAAGAGACCA
rnacentral:lncRNA from 1 species